GGUAGUUGGUCGGGGUAAUGGCCCACCAAGCCGAUGACGGGUAGCUGGUCUGAGAGGAUGGCCAGCCAGACUGGGACUGAGAAACGGCCCAGACUCCUACGGGAGGCAGCAGUUAGGAAUCUUGCGCAAUGGGGGAAACCCUGACGCAGCGACGCCGCGUGGGUGAAGAAGGCCUUCGGGUCGUAAAGCCCUUUUCCGAGGGACGAUAAUGACGGUACCUCGGGAAUAAGCCCCGGCUAACUACGUGCCAGCAGCCGCGGUAAUACGUAGGGGGCAAGCGUUGUCCGGAUUUACUGGGCGUAAAGAGCGCGCAGGCGGUCCCGUAAGUUGGCUGUGAAAUCUCCGGGCUCAACUCGGAGGGGUCAGUCGAAACUGCGGGGCUACGAGGGCGGUAGGGGGAGAUGGAAUUCCCGGUGUAGUGGUGAAAUGCGUAGAUAUCGGGAGGAACACCGAUGGCGAAAGCGAUCUCCUGGGCCGUACCUGACGCUGAGGCGCGAAAGCGUGGGGAGCGAACUGAAUUAGAUACUCAGGUAGUCCACGCCCUAAACGAUGGACACUAGGUGUGGGGGGUAUCGACCCCUCCCGUGCCGCAGCUAACGCGUUAAACGUGCCGCCUGGGAAGUACGGCCGCAAGGUUAAAACUCAAAGAAAUUGACGGGGGCCUGCACAAGCGGUGGUGUAUGUGGCUUAAUUCGAUGCAACGCGAAGAACCUUACCUGGCCUUGACAUGCACAUAGUAGAAGCCUGAAAGGGUGACGAGGUAGCAAUACCAGUGUGCACAGGUGCUGCAUGGCUGUCGUCAGCUCGUGUCGUGAGAUGUUGGGUUAAGUCCCGCAACGAGCGCAACCCCUGUGUCCUGUUGCCACCCCUUAACUGGGAGCACUCUGGACAGACUGCCUCGCUUCAACGAGGAGGAAGGUGGGGAUGACGUCAAGUCAGUAUGGCCCUUACGGCCAGGGCUGCACACGUACUACAAUGCCCGGCACAAAGGGAAGCAAGACCGUCAGGUGGAGCAAAUCCCAGAAAACCGGGCCCAGUUCAGAUUGUCGUCUGCAACUCGACGACAUGAAGCUGGAAUCGCUAGUAAUGGCGCAUCAGCUACGGCGCCGUGAAUACGUUCCCAGGCCUUGUACACACCGCCCGUCACAUCAUGAAAGCCGGUUGUACCCGAAGUCGCCCCUUAAAAGGUGCCGAAGGUAUGGCUGGUGAUUGGGAUGAAGUCGUAACAAGGUAGCCGUAGGGGAACCUGCGGCUG
rnacentral:rRNA from 1 species